UCAGCAAAUCAUCUGUCGCUGGCUCAAAGAAAUUUGGGAAAGAGGAAAGUCCGGGCAGCAAAGAGAGUCGUACUUCCUAACAGGAAGGUCUUUAUUUGGUGACGAAUAGGGAACAGAAAGUGCCACAGAAAGGAAAACUACCUUCGAUUCGUUCGGGGGAAAAGGUGAAAAGGUGGAGUAAGAGCCCACCGUUUCCGAUAGUAAUAUCGGGAUGCAAGGUAAACCUUACGAGCUGUAAGACCAUGUAAACUGAGGUUUGUUUUUACCUCAAGGUAAUUAACAUAAAGGGUUUCUCGCCCCACUCAGAGGGUAGGUUGCUUGAUCCUAAAAGUGAUUUUAGGACUAGAUAAAUGACAGAUAAAAAAGUUUUUUUAACUUUUUGAAACAGAACCCGGCUUAUGAUUUGCUUUUUUU
rnacentral:RNase_P_RNA from 1 species